GAUGAACGCUAGCGGCAGGCUUAAUACAUGCAAGUCGAGGGGCAGCAUGAGUGUAGCAAUACAUUUGAUGGCGACCGGCAAACGGGUGCGGAACACGUACACAACCUUCCUAUAAGUGGGGAAUAGCCCAGAGAAAUUUGGAUUAAUACCCCGUAACAUAAUGAUGUGGCAUCACAUUAUUAUUAUAGCUACGGCGCUUAUUGAUGGGUGUGCGGCUGAUUAGAUAGUUGGCGGGGUAACGGCCCACCAAGUCUACGAUCAGUAGCGGAUGUGAGAGCAUGAUCAGCCACACGGGCACUGAGACACGGGCCCGACUCCUACGGGAGGCAGCAGUAAGGAAUAUUGGUCAAUGGACGCAAGUCUGAACCAGCCAUGCCGCGUGAAGGAUUAAGGUCCUCUGGAUUGUAAACUUCUUUUAUCUGGGACGAAAAAAGGCUAUUCUUAGUCACUUGACGGUACCAGAUGAAUAAGCACCGGCUAACUCCGUGCCAGCAGCCGCGGUAA
rnacentral:rRNA from 1 species